rnacentral:rRNA from 1 species
UACGUAGGGGGCUAGCGUUGUCCGGAAUCAUUGGGCGUAAAGAGCGUGUAGGCGGCCCGAUAAGUCCGCUGUGAAAGUCCAAGGCUCAACCUUGGGAUGCCGGUGGAAACUGUCGGGCUAGAGUCCGGAAGAGGCGAGUGGAAUUCCUGGUGUAGCGGUGAAAUGCGCAGAUAUCAGGAGGAACACCAAUGGCGAAGGCAGCUCGCUGGGACGGUACUGACGCUGAGACGCGAAAGCGUGGGGAGCGAACAGG